rnacentral:misc_RNA from 1 species
GAAAUGCGAUAAGUAGUGUGAAUUGCAGAAUUCAGUGAAUCAUCGAAUCUUUGAACGCACAUUGCGCCCCUUGGUAUUCCACGGGGCAUGCCUGUUCGAGCGUCAUUUGUACCCUCAAGCUCUGCUUGGUGUUGGGUGUUUGUCCCCGUCUCCGCGCGUGGACUCGCCCCAAAGUGAUUGGCAGCCGGCGUACUGGUCCCGGAGCGCAGCACAUGUCGCGCAAACGAGUGCCUUGGUACGGCGGCGUCCAUAAGCCCCUCUCUCACGCUCUUGACCUCGGAUCAGGUAGGGAUACCCGCUGAACUUAAGC